rnacentral:rRNA from 1 species
GCAGUCGAGCGGACCGACGGGAGCUUGCUCCCUUAGGUCAGCGGCGGACGGGUGAGUAACACGUGGGUAACCUGCCUGUAAGACUGGGAUAACUCCGGGAAACCGGGGCUAAUACCGGAUGCUUGAUUGAACCGCAUGGUUCAAUCAUGAAAGGCGGCUUCGGCUGCCGUUUACAGAUGGACCCGCGGCGCAUUAGCUAGUUGGUGAGGUAACGGCUCACCAAGGCGACGAUGCGUAGCCGACCUGAGAGGGUGAUCGGCCACACUGGGACUGAGACACGGCCCAGACUCCUACGGGAGGCAGCAGUAGGGAAUCUUCCGCAAUGGACGAAAGUCUGACGGAGCAACGCCGCGUGAGUGAUGAAGGUUUUCGGAUCGUAAAGCUCUGUUGUUAGGGAAGAACAAGUACCGUUCGAAUAGGGCGGUACCUUGACGGUACCUAACCAGAAAGCCACGGCUAACUACGUGCCAGCAGCCGCGGUAAUACGUAUGUGGCAAGCGUUGUCCGGAAUUAUUGGGCGUAGAGCGCGCGCAGGCGGUUUCUUAAGUCUGAUGUGAAAGCCCCCGGCUCAACCGGGGAGGGUCAUUGGAAACUGGGGAACUUGAGUGC